rnacentral:rRNA from 1 species
AUUGAACGCUGGCGGCAUGCCUUACACAUGCAAGUCGAACGGUAACAGGUCUUCGGAUGCUGACGAGUGGCGAACGGGUGAGUAAUACAUCGGAACGUGCCUAGUAGUGGGGGAUAACUACUCGAAAGAGUGGCUAAUACCGCAUGAGAUCUACGGAUGAAAGCAGGGGAUCGCAAGACCUUGUGCUACUAGAGCGGCCGAUGGCAGAUUAGGUAGUUGGUGGGAUAAAAGCUUACCAAGCCGACGAUCUGUAGCUGGUCUGAGAGGACGAUCAGCCACACUGGGACUGAGAGAGGGCCCAGACUCCGACGGGAGGCAGCAGUGGGGAAUUUUGGACAAUGGGCGAAAGCCUGAUCCAGCAAUGCCGCGUGCAGGAUGAAGGCCUUCGGGUUGUAAACUGCUUUUGUACGGAACGAAAAGCCCCGGGUUAAUACCCUGGGGUCAUGACGGUACCGUAAGAAUAAGCACCGGCUAACUACGUGCCAGCAGCCGCCGUAA